AUUCUCACAUGGCAGCUCAGAGCUCCAACAGUGAGUGUUCAGCAAACAAAGCAGACGCUGUAAGCCCCUUUAUGACAGCCUGGGACGUCAGCUGCUCUGUCAGUCGGGGCAGCCUCAAGCCUUCCCAGAUUCAAGUGAGCUUCGUGGGAGAUGUAGUGUAGAAUUCGUGGCCAUAUUUUCCUAUUGCCCCUUUACCCCACGGCUCUUCCAGAGAAAGUUUGCCCUGUGACCUGAGCCAGAACACACCCCAACCCUCUCUGGAGAGAAGCAGAGUCAAGGAAAGAAGAGAUUUCAUAGUGUGGACAGUGUUGGUUCUUCAGCGCCGAGGCCUCUCGAGUGUUGGUUUGCGUUUCUCACAGGCGGAGAGCACAGCAGGAAGGCCUGCUGUAGGAAGAGGAAGGACUUAAGGGGGAGGACUUCCAGGCAGGGAGGAGAGGGAGGAAUUGGGCAAUUUUGUAUGAGGGACUGAAACUGAGGCCAAAUAUCACCAUUUCAGUCUUGACAUUUAUCUGGAAUCAGGAUGUGCACACCAUCAAACCAUGUGACUUGGCACUACAAGAAGAUUUUGUUUUCUUUGCACUGAUUGUUGACAGUAUGUGAGGCCCAACCUACAUCAGAUCUUGGGACUGUGGGAGAAAGCUGCAGACAGCUGAGUUACAUCCAUGAUGUCUCUAUGUCAAUGAAUUAACCUACUCUGAAACUGUCCUACCUCCAGACUUCACGUGAUGCAAAUAAUAAAUAUUCUUCUUGUUUAAGCCAC
rnacentral:lncRNA from 1 species